rnacentral:rRNA from 1 species
UACGUAGGGUGCAAGCGUUGUCCGGAAUUAUUGGGCGUAAAGAGCUUGUAGGCGGUUUGUCGCGUCUGCUGUGAAAUUUCGGGGCUCAACCCCGAACUUGCAGUGGGUACGGGCAGACUAGAGUGUGGUAGGGGAGACUGGAAUUCCUGGUGUAGCGGUGAAAUGCGCAGAUAUCAGGAGGAACACCGAUGGCGAAGGCAGGUCUCUGGGCCAUAACUGACGCUGAGAAGCGGAAGCAUGGGGAGCGAACAGG